UACGAAGGGGGGCUAGCGUUGCUCGGAAUCACUGGGCGUAAAGGGUGCGUAGGCGGGUCUUUAAGUCAGGGGUGAAAUCCUGGAGCUCAACUCCAGAACUGCCUUUGAUACUGAGGAUCUUGAGUUCGGGAGAGGUGAGUGGAACUGCGAGUGUAGAGGUGAAAUUCGUAGAUAUUCGCAAGAACACCAGUGGCGAAGGCGGCUCACUGGCCCGAUACUGACGCUGAGCACGACGAAGCGGUGGGAGCAAACAGGG
rnacentral:rRNA from 1 species